CUCCAGGGUCACCUGCUCCUGGCUCUUGGAGACACAGAGAGACACUGUCCCAACGGAGGAGCAGACAACCCAGCCUACCCAUGCCAUGUCCCCCACCCCCACCCCGGGGGGCAGAGGGAACACCUGGGCCCACCAGGAAGAGAACAGAAGACAACGCGUCAGGGGCAGCCUGGUCCUGGUCACUCGCAUUCCGUGGAGCCUUUCCCACGUGCAGCCAGCCACCUGAGAGAGAGGAGGGCAAGGCCGUGCCUUCGGGUCCCCGGGGGCCUGCUCAGGAAGCAGGUGUAUGAGAAAGGGCUUCCUCGUGACCAGGAGACUGUCCUGGUGGCUGAAUGUCCUGCUCCCUGACCCUGUGAGGCCUCAGCUCCUCCUCUGACCAGGUGGCCAGAGGGAUUUGUCCCAACCGCUGUAUGUUGCAGUCUGGGAUGUCACCUGAGUGAAGAAACCGGAGUAGAAAAAAAAACCCAACAAACCUCAUCUACAUUUCCUUAAAGAAUUUUUGGGGGGAAUUAAAGCAAACGUCAUCGGGCAGUGAAGUCUAGAGAUAAGAUGUGUAUAGAAGCAUAGAAAGAACAGGAAGUAUCUUCCACUCCAUUAGGAGUCAAGGGUGGGCCGCGCCGCAGGGUCUGAAGGGGCCAAGACCCUCCCCUCCUAACACGACACUCCGACACUCCACACUCCGGCCCUCCCCCUGGUCUGCCUUGAGGGCACCUGCCUUCCCCUCAUGAUGUACUUACUCCCGGAUUGUGUCAGGCACCCCGGAAGGCCUCGGACUCCCCUCCCCUGCACCCUCAGCGCCCUAAGGUUCUGUGUAGCCCCUCUUCCUUCCCACUUCCCAACCGGAACCCUUCUGCUGCAUGGUCUGUCACAGAUAAAAUUUCCAAUAUGCCUGGCCA